GAUGAACGCUAGCGACAGGCUUAACACAUGCAAGUCGAGGGGCAGCGGGGGAGUAGCAAUACUCCCGCCGGCGACCGGCGCACGGGUGAGUAACACGUAUGAAACCUGCCCGUAGCAGGGGGAUAAGCGGAAGAAAUUCCGUCUAAUACCGCGUAACAACCCUUGGAGGCAUCUCCCCGGGGUUUAAAGGAAGCGAUUCCGGCUACGGAUGGUCAUGCGUCGCAUUAGCUAGUUGGCGGGGUAACGGCCCACCAAGGCGACGAUGCGUAGGGGUUCUGAGAGGAAGGUCCCCCACACUGGGACUGAGACACGGCCCAA
rnacentral:rRNA from 1 species